rnacentral:lncRNA from 1 species
UUUUUUUUUUUUUUUUUUUUAUUGGGAAAGCAAGAAUCAAUGUUGCUUAAUUAUGUAACUAGUACUGGUUAGGGUUGGAGAAAGCUGAUACAAGUGUUCGGUUUAUAGGCAAAUUUGUGAAUUGGGUCUUGGCGGAACUUAUCUUUCAUAUUUUAGUUUUAUUCUUUUUUAUUUUCUUGAGAAGAUAUUUCUACUGGUAUUCCCUUCUUUUUCGUUAUUCUUGGGACUAUUAGUGAUUUAAAUCUUUAAUAUUACGUAAAAAUGUAUGUGCUUCUUUAAAUGUUGGUGAGAUAUACAGAUUUUGCAGUUAAAAUUUUGAUUUUGAUUUUUUUUUGGGUUAAAGAUGCAGUAGAAAUCAAAGAACAAUCCUAUUUAUGGGACAAAGCAGAAAAUGGAAAAGGAGACAUGAAAAAAGGAACCAGGGGGGGGGUGGGGCGGGAGGGUGGAAGGUAACUGUAGAUGAUCUGCUUCGAUAAAAGAAAAUAUACCCUCGAAAUAGGAUUAGGUCGUUUUUAUGAAUUUCCAGUGAAACCAACACUUGUGCAUUCCCCCUGUUGUUUAUUUGUCUGACAUAAACUAGAGGUGUCUUUUGAUUCUGCAAUUUUCUUCAUUUAUUAUUCACGCUCUUUGUUUCCUGUAAUGGUCCUUUAUUUGCAUGCCCAAGGACGAGCACUAGGCAUUAAAUGGGCAAUUGAUACUUCAGAAAAUGUAUAGUCCUAAGACCUGAGAGAUCCUGUAGAUUAUAGGGCUUGUUUGGAAGUCCAAGUUUUUACCAAGUUUUUAUUAUACUAGUUUUUUAACAACUUGUGCUACAGGAACCUCAAAAACUUAUCAAAAUUUUUUAACCUACACACUUAAAAUAUCCAAAACACAAAAAAAAAACUCCCUUCCCCUUUUCUUCUUCUUCCUCCCCCACCACUACCUCCGUCAACUGCUCCGUCACCGGCCACCACCUCCGCCACCGGUUCCAGUGCCGAUCACCUUUUCCGGUGCCAAUUUUUUUUUUCCUUUUUCCCUCUCCCUUUUUUUUUUUUUUUCCCUCUUCCCCCGCAAGUUUUUUUUUCUCUCUGCGUCUCCCCCCUUCUCCCCCACCACCCUUCCCCUUCCCCUCUGGCUGAUCUGGUCGCGAGACCAGAUCGCACCGAGGGAGGGUGAGGGUGGCGGGGAAAGGGAGGACAGAGGGAAAGGGGGGCUUUGCCCAAAAAAAAAAAUUAACGGGUGGCGGGAUUCAGGGGUGGUAAACGGGAAGGGGAAUAGGGGAGGGGGAAGGGGCCAAGGGGGUGACGGGAGGAGGGGGAAGGUGGCGAGGGGGUGGCGGGGCAGUGAGGGUGGCGGGGUAGAGGGGAAGGUGGGCCUGGUUGGAAGUUGCGGGGGGAGGGGGUGGCGGAGGAAGGGCAGAGGGGAGGGCAGAGGGAAGGGGUGGCGGGGGGAGGGAGAAAGCCGGCAGAGGGGGAGAAGCAAAGCAGGGGGAAGGAGGGGGGAGGGAGUGGCGGGGAAGAGGGGAUGGCCGAAAGCAGGGGGAAGCGGGGUGAGGGGAUGGCGGGGGAAGGGGGAAGGCGGGCAGAGGGGGUGGCGGAGGAAGGGGGUGGCAGGGCAGAGGGGGAGAAGCAAAGCAGGGGGUAGCGGGAGGUGGCACUGCUGGAGGCAGAGGUAACGGGGAAGAAGAAGAAGAAGAAGAAGAAAGAAAAGAGAAAGGAAAGAAAGAAAAAGAAAAAGAAAAGAAAGAAAAAAAAAGAAAAGAAAAAAAGUUUUUAACCCUACAAAAACUUCUACAAAAUUUUUCUCUUUACAAAAAACUUCUACAAAAUUUUUCAAAAACUUCUACAGUGCACUACAGUAAAGUUUUAGACAAACUCCCAAAAACUAGGGUUCCAAACAGGCCCAUAGUUUUUGGGGUUUUGUAGCCUUUAUAGGAUAUAAUUUCUUAAUGGAUUUAGUUAUUGACUGGAGUGUUCUUUUUUAGGUGGUGCAUCUCUACAAGAGGAAGUGGGUUGAUGAAGCAACCUAUCCACGGUUCACUAUGAUUGGACAAAGUCUUGGUUCAGUUUACCUCUCAUGGGAAGCUUUAUGCAAGUUUACUCCUUUGUAUUAUUUUGAUACCUGUGGCUAUGCCUUUACUUAUCCAGUUGCCAGGGUAUUUGGAUGUAAAGUGAUUUGCUAUACACAUUAUCCAACUAUCAGUUUGGACAUGCUAUCUCGUGUUCAUGGACGGAAUUCUAUGUACAAUAAUGACACACUGAUAGCUAAGAGGUAUGCAUGGUGAUUUAUCAUGCACAUGAAACAUCUGAUUAAGAGAUUUGGUGUUAUUAUUUAUUUCUUUUAUGGUUCUUGAAUAACAAGAUAGGCAUUUGCUACUGAAAUGUGUUGUAGUUCUUGUUGAGAAAUAUUUAGGUAAUUUGCUUGUAGUUUUCAACUUGAUCUUGUCAAAAGUGUGUCAUCUGUCUUGCUCCUUUUUAUAGUUAUUUCGUUUAGCUAAAGAUUAAAAUGAUAGGAAGGAAAACACAAUUUUUGUUUUUCAUUUUCUAAUUUGUUGGAAUCAGAUUGAAUUCCAAUUUGCUCAUUACACUAGUGGCUUUAGUCUUCACUAGAACCAAAAUGACAUUCAUUCUCCUUCGGAAUUGUUUGGAGAUAAGUCUCAAUUUUUUCUUGCCUCUCCAGGUUUUGAAUAUUGGUUUUCAUGUGGAUCCUUUAGAGAGUUCAUACUUCAAUUGUUUACGAUGUUUUUUUCUGUCCUUGAUCAUAUCUUGUUUGAAUUGUACAUCUUUCCUGUCUUGUUUAUGAAAGUUAUCCAUGGAUCCUUGUAUCUUGAUCAUGAAGCACCUCUAAAUUUCUUUGAUAACAGUUCCUUUCUAUCCCAUUGCAAAGUCAUAUACUACAUGCUUUUUAGCUGGAUGUAUGGCAUUGUUGGCUCAUAUGCACACCUUGCAAUGGUGAAUUCUUCAUGGACAAAGUCUCAUAUUGAAAAGCUUUGGGGAAUUCCAGAUCGCAUUCGGCGUGUUUACCCUCCUGUGACACUUCAGGGCUUCAGGUUUUGCUUUGAUUAGUUUAUCCUCUUCAUGGUGCUUUGGGUGGCCCUUUAAUUUAGUUGUUGACUAUUUGUUCUUGUAAACAAUUUAAACUAUAUGGGUAUUAUGUUACUUGGCUAAACCACUCUUCAGGCCUUCCGUCUUUGUGUAAUGUCUGUUGGUUUGUGGUAGGGCCAUUUGACAUUCUGAUUUCUGUUAGUUGAAAAUACAGAUGCUUUUUUUGUUUUUAUCAUUGGGAAGGAUGUUAGUAUCAAAGUUUAAGCCCCCCCCUCUCUCUUUCCGGGGGCCCCUUCUUCCUCCCAUGAAAUUGCAAACUCAAAUUUUCAUCUUUGCUAGUUAUAUUUUUUCUUAAAAAUAUUCUUGCUUAAUUGUAUACAUCUCUCUCUCUCUCUCUCUGGGGCUCUGUGUCCUUUGUUACCAACUACAGAGAUCAGAAUGGAUGUUAUACAGUAAUCAGAAACUAAAAUCUCCUAAAUAGGCUUCUGGUGGUGUGGCUUUAGACGAUUCAAUUUGUGGUAUAUUGUGGUUUUGCAAAUUAAUAAAUUUGACACCUCAUAUAAAUGUUAUAAAUUUCCUUACUGUGUUGUCUGUCUGUUUCUCCUGGAAAUAGUUGGUGUGAUAAUCAUAACUACUUUGGAAGCUAAGCUUUAUGCCUUGUUAAGGAUGGAAAGGAAAGAAGUGAAAUAUUUUUGAUCCAAUAUUGAAGGAUAAAAAACUCAGAAAGGGCUGCAUGGUCUUAGCUCUGUUGUUCGAUAUCAUUUUGCUGCUUAUAUUCUGCUGAUUUCUGUACAUAACUGCCUGCAAAGCUAUUGUCAUUAGUGGGAAGUGCCUUGCCAACAUUUACAUUGAUCAAAAUUUCUGCUAGUAACUAGAUACAGAUAUUAACCUAAUUUAUAUGAACAGGCACUUCCAUUGGAGAGGCCUAUGACACCACCCAAGAUUAUUUCUGUGUCUCAAUUUCGGCCAGAGAAGGUGGGGAUUUUUAUAAUAAAAAUGAAAAGUAUUUGAACUCUAGCAGUUACUUUGUACCUCAGGCCAGUCAUGGUCUCUGUGAGUUAUCCUUAAGUUACUUCUUUGGGCCAGGCACAUCCUAUUCAGCUGGAGGCAUUUGCUGUUGCCAUUACAAAGUUGGAUUUAAAUCUUCCAAGGCCCAAACUUCAGCUUGUGGGUAGUUGUAGAAAUGAAGCAGAUGAGAGAAGGUUGCAAGAGUUGCAGGACCUAGCUGUUGAAUUAAAGGUGGCAGAUGAUGUGGAGUUUCAUAAGAAUGUGAUGUAUAGGUUUGUGCAUUUUAACGAUUGCUCAGCAUUGUAUUUGAUACCAGACCUCGUAAGAAAGUAUCAAAACAAGAGAUAAUCUGAAAUUAGGUAUUGAUUCUAUUUCAUUUUAAGAAAGGAUUCAGGAAAAAAGAGAUUUUCUUAUGAUCUGUGAAUGACCAUGCACUAUGUAGACAUUGAAUUCUGUUCUCUUUCUGCUUACUGAAUCUUAUAAGCGUUUGGUUGUAUCCUUUCCAUUCAGCAUAUGGCUAGGGGUUCAUUAAAUUGUAGUUCUUGAUGCCUACUUUAGCUUUAUGUUUGCGUAGUUCCUACACGUUAGCUUUUUAAUUUUGCUGUGCAUCAUUUUUUCCACUUUUUUUUUUUGGCAAUGAGAGAGUCUUAAUUCAUUUCUCUAUUUGAUUAAUAUUGCAGUGAUUUGGUUAAGCUUUUGGGUGGUGCGGUUGCAGGAAUUCAUUCCAUGAUAGAUGAGCAUUUUGGAAUAUGUGUUGUGGAGUACAUGGGCGCUGGGGCUGUACCAAUAGGUCGGUUGGCUCUUUACACAGUAGUUAUGCCUUCUCUUUAUCUACUUAAAACCUGGAGGUGGGUGUGAAUUUAACUUCUUUGCUUUUGGAUUGCUCAGCCCAUAAUUCGGCUGGCCCCAAGAUGGAUAUUGUGUCGGCAGAAGAUGGGGAACAAACUGGAUUCCUUGCCGAAAAUGUGCAAGAAUAUGCAGAGGCCAUUUGCAAGGUCAUUGUGAUGCCUGAAUCCAAGAGAUGUGUCAUGGCAGCAGCUGCAAGGAGAAGGGCCUCAAGGUUCUCAGAGGAUAGAUUUUUCGAGGACUUUAGAGCUGCUAUCAGACCUAUCUUAUGCAAAACUUCAAGAUGAUACAAAUACAAUUUUGUUAAUGGAUGCCUAUUACCCGUUUAGUUUAGUGUUCAAAUGAGAAAUGUAUGAAAAUCGUCUUGGGCUAAUGUACUCUUUCCCUUCUUCCCUCCCUAACAUUAACACAGAGAUUUGACACAUCAUUUAUGUCCCUGAUGGAAAUUUUAGAAGGGAAUUUUUGUUAGGACUUGAUGCUGAGCAAUUGUAGAAAAUUGUAGCAUGGAAUUUGAGUGGUUGGAUCAUUUUGUCAUGGUUGCGGUUGUUCGGCUUUCUCGUUGCCAUUAGCAGAUGUUUACAGCUUAGUUUUCCCAUUUUAAUGGAUGAAACCAAACACACAUUAAGAGGUGAACUCUGAGCUCCGAGAUGAUAAAAGAACAGCUUCUGUUUCCUUCUUUGUUAUUGAUGUUAUUGGUUAUGCUGUUCCUAAGAGUGAGCGGAUUUGUCUCAAAGAGGCUUCCAAGCCUUUUGUCAUGAUACUCAGUGUCUGAAAUCAAUAUCUGAUAUCUAUCUUGUGGGCAGGAAAAUCACACAAAGGAACGUUUGUCAAAACUAAGAACGUCUAUUGUUUAUAAGGAUUGCAGUAAGAUUUCUAACUAUUAUGUUGGAAAAGCAUCCUGUUGCAAAAUCUGCAUGCAUGGUAGCCAUAAAUAAGUGCUAUACCCCAGACAUGCCAUUGUGACACAACAUCGUCAUUAAAAUAGGUACAUAUAACAGGAUGCAUUUCAUCUUUAUAAUGACCAAGACACAAGCAACACAUUCCCAACCCCCCAGUAUUCGCCCUCAUAAAACAAGCUGUGCAAUAAAAAACAUUCAUCUCAUAGAGAAUUGGCAAUGCUUUAAGACACAUCUAAGCAGAUACUAGAUAGGAGAAGAAUCACAAACAAUCUAUUGCAGAGUCAAUACGCAUAAUGUACAAACAACUAGGGAAGUUUGAAAAUCCCCACUUUACAUAAUCAGCUUGUUAAAAAGACACAAUCGUCUAAAACUAAGUUCUAAAGUCUCUAAAAUUUACUCCCUGCUUAAGUGGCAGUGCAUUUCCGUUAUAACUUCAAAGGAGAAAUUUGGGAUGAAAACACUCCAAGAGCCUGAAUGCAUUUAAAGAUUCAACUAUAUUGGUUCUUCCCAAGCUUGGAGAAGUUAGGCAGGUGACUGCAACAUAUGAAAUAUGUGCAAGAAGCAUCCCCUAAUUGAAGAAAAGCCCCCAGAAACUUCAAUGUUUAUGUAAUCCUACACGGAAAUUUGAAAUAGGAAAAGAGAAUCAGUAGAAAACAUCUGAUAUCAUCAGCUUUUACAACAUAACUACAACAAAUGCAGGCAACAUACAAGGGGUGCAAAACAAGAAUGCAAAUUCUUCCUCCUCAAUGUUGUGUUCAGAAAUAAUUUCAAAGCUUUACCAAGCACCUGCCUGCAGUACCUUUUUUUUUUUAAAUUAACUUUUUAGCACCAUGUAGCUCUUACAUAAGAUUCUGCCUUUAGAAAGGGAGAAAAAAUUUCCUACAAAACAUGAUUGAGGACCAAAUUACACCAAUUAAAAAACUUAAAGAGUUAAGCCGGCCUAAAAGUUCCAAAAUGUCCUAAAGAAAAGACACACUAAUACACGUCUAAAAUGGAACAUCCUGGAAGUGAGUUGUUGGAAAACAGAACAGUAUUCAAUCCCAAUCAAAAAAAUCAUACAAAUCAAACUCAAAGGUGGGAGAGUGAGAAUAGGGGCUACUAGAGGCGGUUGUGGGAGUAAGGACAUUCAUUGGGUAAUGUGGUGGGUUAACCAGAGAAAGUGGGCUGCAGCACUGGCAAUUGUAGGAGAGUGGCAGAAGUUACUAGUCAGGUUCACAGGAAGGGGAUGGAUUGCAGUUCUACUUGGAAGUAGUAAAGCUAACUAUUUUUAACAAUUAGGAUAGAGUAUGGUGAUUGAUCUUUUGUCAUUAAAUAAGGCUGAGCAAAUGUGUUUCAAGUUUUGGAGGAAUUUCGAGGGCCAAAGAAUUCGCCUCUAAAUAUUUCUUCCCUGAAUAAGCUCACUUGCCUACAUUCUAUUUAUCCUGAAUAUCAAGUACUAUUGGACCGGUAUCAAACAUUCAGUGUCUUUCCUGUUGUUCACAGGGAAUCAGUAGAAUUUCAUCAAUUCCAACCUAUUUUGUAAUUAAUCUCUAGGUCAAGCUCCACACAUCCACAAUAUGACAUAUAUCUCAUUUUACUUACAGAAACCUUAGGAUUUUUCAAAAUCACCAAAAUCACCUUCCCCCAUAAAUGGUGCACUGAUUUUGGUUGAAAUAUCAUUAAUAAAGGAACUAAUCUUCUUGCUAAUAAUCGAUGUGACAUUAAAUCACCAAAUUACAAUUGAUGUGUGACAUAGAACCAUACAUUUUGGCAUAACCAAGAAUUUCAAUGAUAUAGCCCACAUAAUCUUUUUAGCGAAAUUGCAUAAAGAUAAGGCUAGCUGUAAUUGUUUUACUACCUUAUUUUCUAGUUUCGUUCUCAUUCCAAUGAUUUGUUUUCUCAAUAAAUACUCUUGUACUAGAGUAGUCAGGAUGAAUCAAUCAAAAAAUAUUGAAUUUUACGAAGUUCUUAUGUGUAGUACACUCAAGCCGUUUCUCUAGUUCCCUGAGGAACAAUUUUGGAGAAGACUGAUGGCUUCCAACAUGUUGUCGCCAGCAUUAACAAUAAACACUACAAUGUUCCAAUGCAGCUGCCACUUCAAUAAGAAGACAAUAUUUAGGGCCAUCUCUCAUUAGAUUUGUCACAGAUCAUAUUUCAGUCAAUUCAUUUACAUAACCAAAUUCAGUGUUACCAAGACUGCUAUAAUCUGCUAGGGGUUCUUAAGAAAGUGCUUAGUCAAAAGUGUUGCUUAAUCUCUACAAAACUUAAGUGCUUCUAAAAUGAUGUUGACAACUAUUAAGCACUUCAGUAGUCACUAAUCAUGGCUCCAAGCAAUUUUAGACACAAUUUAACUUUUUGUUGUCAUCAUAUGCAAACAUUUUGUUAUCAAUCCCCGCAACCCCAGUCACCACUUGAUAAUGCCAUUUUGACAAUUCUAGGCAACUUCAUGAAAUCAACAAUAGUUUACUAAUCCACCAAUGUGAGUAAGGGUUUUAAAAAAAAAAUCAGCCUAUUUUAGAACCACAAUACAAUAAGCUCACAUAGAAAAAUAUCUCUGCAAGCUUAAAAGACUCUAUGAUUUAGACAGAAGGGCAAGAUUGAGAGAGUUUAUAGAAAUGUUGCUUGUGCAUUAUUGUAGAAGAAGGACCUACAGUAGUCUUUGGGAGCGAAAUGAGAAAAUAGAAAAAUUUUAAAAAAAAAACUCAAUGUAGAUUCGGUCCUCUUAUUAAGAGAGACAUUUUUAAUUUUAGUACUCACACCCAAAAGCUGUUAAUGAUCCACCUAAAUAAGACAUCAUAAUAUGAAGGAACUUGGCCGUAAAACUUGUAAGUUUAGCAGUUUCAUUGAUAAUAGACUAAAUAAGGUGGUGCUGGAAAACGGAGUGGAAUAGCAAAAUCAGAUUCUACAAAAGGAAUUUUCUUAACCUUCUCCAAUCACCUGUAUCAAUACAAUAGGGCAUAGAAUUGGGGCAAGCAAACAGGGCUAUUUUCAAACAAAGCUAGAAUUGGCAUUCAGCAAUUUUUAGUUCUGGAUUCUUGUAGCACUUAAUGUCAUCCUUAGUCUUUUUGGCUUAUGAAUUCUUUCUCCAUAAAAGUCAGAAUCACAUACAUUCAAUAUUCCCCAGUCGAGUAGCUUUUAAAACAUUGCAAGCUUACUAUACAAGCACUGUGAUUCAAAAACUCAAAGGUGAAUAAACCAUCUUUCAGAUUUUGCAUAAUUUGCUGUAUGAUUGCAUUAUUUUUCAGUUGAGAUUCUUAAAGGGCGUCAAAGAAAAUCUAAGAUAUCAUGAUUUCUCUGGUUACUUUUUGGUUUCUCUUCUUGCUUUUUCAUAAGUUCUUGAAAUACACUGCUCUGAGAACUCCUAAAUUCAAAUUUAGAAGCUUUCCUGCAUCAUUGUUUUAUUAGAAUAUACAUUUCCUAAAGAUGCUAUUGGGUCCAAUUUCAUCAAUUCUACAUUCAUGAAGGAUGAACUUGGUCUUCUUACCAGCAAGAUCCUUUAAAAGUACAAUUGAAUAAACUCCUAAUUUAGAUUAGAAUAUCUAAAUCAGAAUAACAGGAAAAGCAGUCAUUGAAGCACAAAACUAAAGUAUGAACAAAAAACAGCGGUCAUCAUGUAGAAAAUUCAUGUUGAAACUUGGAGCAAGGCUAUCAGAGGUGAAAGUGUACCACACUCAAAAAUAUUAGACAACCAAAAAAAAAAAAGGCAAAGCAAUGCAGAAAAGACGAACUCAUACCCUACCAGAAUAUCUAAAUUAGAAUAACAGGAAAAGCAGUCACUGAAGCACAAAACUAAAGUAUGAACAAAAAACAGCAGUCCUCAUGUAGAAAACUCAUGUUGAAAGUUGGAGUAAGGCUAUCAGAGGUGAAAGUGUACCACACUCAAAAAUAUUAGACGACAAAAAAAAAAAAGGCAAAGUAAAGCAGAAAAAACGAACUCAAACCCUACCAGAAUGUCAGAAUGUCAGUUGGCAUGUUGGCCAUCAUCAUCUGAAUCAUCAAUGAGUACAGGUUCAUUUCUAUCAGUUCUACAGUCACCAAAAAGCUCAUCUAUCUCUGCAUCUGAAUCCUCAAGUUGUACAGGACCCUUUAAACUGCCUUUAUUAUCACCAAGAGCUCACGAGCUGCCUUCUCAAGGAAUUCUUUGGCAGCAGUUUGAACAGGUUGCUUCUCUGGUGACCCAUAUUUUCUCUUCUUAUGCACACUUCUUUCAGAAUGCUUUAUUGUAGUACCCUGUCUUCUACUAAUCUCCCUCAUGCUUUGCUUCUGCUCUGCAGAAUUAAUCUAUUUUUCAAAGCCAAAUUAAAUGAUAGAAUUAAUCCAAUAAACCAACUGAGCACCUACCCCUGGUGAGAUCAGGCAAAGAAUGGUCAAUGAAGCGGGUCGCUGCUUGGGCAUUUAUGGUGGCUGAAGGACGCAGUGGCGCUUUGAAGAUGAACAGGGAUUUUAUCAGUGAAUAUAUAUCUCAAUCAGUACAGAGUAAACAUAUUAAAGAUGGUAAAGAAUAAGCAAAAACUUCCAUUUUAAGUUUCAAAGGGAACAUGUUACAACUUCGAAAACACAGAUAAUGUGAAAAACCACUUUCAUAUUGUUCCAAAAUCCAGAUUAAUGUUUCUCAAUAUUAUCUUUAAUGGGACAAACUGAUACAACACCAACAAAGGAGAGCCUUCAAGAAGAGUGGUCCAUACUUUAAAAGAAAGAAAGAAGUUCAUUGAAGACAAGGAAAAAUUUGUUCAAGAUAUAUAUUGCUUGUUCAGCUAAUUCCACAUGAAAUGCGAAAAAGAUUUACUGGAAAGCUACCCACAUAAUUAUUUGCCUUAGCAGAGAAAAUCUGCAUUUUCUUCAUCUCAAAAUGUAACUCACCUUCCAUCUUAAACUUAAAAUCCCUAGAGUAAAUAAAAGGGAUUAUAAGUACCUUUACUCAACUCUAUACACCGCUGAACUUUUUCCUGGUACAAGCUCAACCUCUCCUAUAAACACAAAAAUAAACCCAUAUCUGUGAAAAUGUUACUCGGCAAACAGUCCACAAACUUGAAGUUGAACCAAAAGCAUCACAAAUUGAUAGGGAUAUAUACCAUAAGGCUGUAAACAACAACAAAGUCAAAAAGAAUGAAAAAGCAACAUCAAUCAAAACAUCACACAAAAUAACCUAUCAUUGCACAACCGAAAUUGCUAGCAUAACUGCUUAAAUGAGAAAGGAUUAGGUUAACAUAGCCCUAAGGCCCUUGACCCUGCAAGCUACAAAGGCAAUUUCUGGUUAAUCACCCUGUUACCUUGAGCACGAUGAAACAUCCUUGUAACAAUUAACAAUUAAAACACGCAUGCAAGAAUAAAUCAGGGUCAACCCUCAACCCACAUUUCUAAGGAAUAUUAUUCCCAAUCACAAAGCAACAUAAAGGCCCUUAAGCCUGCAAGCUACAAAGGCAAUUUCUGGUUAAUCACCCUGCUACCUUGAACAAAUGAAACAUCCGUGUAACAAUUAACAAUUAAAACACACACGCAAGAAUAAAUCAGGGUCAAACCCUCAAUCUACAUUUCUAAGGAAUAUUAUUCCCAAUCACAAGGCACAGAUUUUAAACAGAAGUGGCCCCUUAAUCACCUAAUAAACACCCACAAUUAAGUCUGACCCUCGAACAAAAUUCAACAGUCAGGAAUAAAGGCAAGAACCAUUUACCAUUAACCAACAAAUAUACCCAAAAAUUAAACAAAAAUUGAAGAAGAAUAUAAUACAUACAUGCUCUGACUUGACAGCGUGCUCAUCUGGGUUCACUCCAUUGCAUCUCAACCUCACUGCAAAACCACCAAAAAUUUGACAUCAAACUCAAAUUCCAAGAAUUCAAUUAAACAAAACCCACAAAACAAAGAGCAAAAGAAACCAUUUUUCGGCCAGUUUAGACAUACAAGUGAAAAGGGUCGUGGUAAUUUUGGCAAGCAAGAGAAGGGACUGAGCCCUUUCAAGAGGGUUCAUCUGGGACAAGACAUCAUUGUCACAGAGGGACAGGAAAUCGUCAAAAAAGAUCCCAACUUCCUCAAUGUUGAUUGAGGUUCUCUUGACUGCCUCCAUGACUGAUUCUGGUACAAUUCUUGUUCCACCACCAUCAUUUCCACCUUCCAUAGCCGAUUUCUAAGUAGCAAAUUGAUUCUUCGAGGACUCUUGUUACGCUUUAACAACUAUAUGAGAGUGUGUAGAUAUCAGAUGACAGUGCUAACUAGUUGAGGGAUUUGUUGGUUCUUUUGUUUGUUUGUUUUGGGGUUUAGCUGUUUUUGCGGAGGUUGAGGAAUCCAAUUGGAUUUUGGAAAAUCUAGUGACCAGGUUUGGGGCAGUAAAUCUCCCAAUACAUACCUGGGAUAUUUAUGCGGCGGAGGAUACACUUUCACCCCGUAUAGAGCAGAGAGAAGAGCAGAGCGAACUCACAGAAGUUUGACAGCAGAGCAUGCUAAAACCAAAGGCGGCAGAAUAUGAGAAAGAGUGAUGUAAGAGGCAUCGGUUACAUCGUCGGAUAAUUUCACAUGGAGUUAAAUACAAUUCCAUCCUCAUAAUUUGACCAAAGUGCCGCUGGACCCCUGAAUCUCAAGAUGUUGCAAGUGGGCCCUCUGGACUUUUUUUUUUUUGUUUUUGGUAGGGAAGGGUUAAAACUUAAGAAGUGGGGAAGGUGUAGGGAAAUUUGAAUUCAUGAUUUCUAAUUCCGCGUUCUCUUGGCUUGUUGCUAUAAAAUCUAAAAUGAUAUUUUUUAAGUUUAAUUUCAAAUAUAUAGCACCUAUUCAAUUCCCCUUGUAUAGAAGAAUCCUUUCAUUAACAGUAUAAAAUUGAUUAGUUCUUUAUAAAUUACCUCAACUUAUUAUUUUACUAUUUGUUUCUAUAAAUAUUAGUUUUAUCAUCACAAAUGAUCCAUUAAGAUAUAUCGAAGUCUAUGCUUUCAAAUCCAAACUGGGUGCAUUAGAUGAGCUUCUUGUCCACAAUGGUUGUUUAAUCAAUCAAGUCAAGGAUUCAACCUUUUCAUCUAAAAUUUGAAAAUUUUGAAAAAUAAUAUUUAAAUGUAACAAGAAAAAUUCUUAGUGGCUAAUUGAUUCAAUUAUCCAAGGUUUGUAAGCUUUAACAAAUUGAUCUUUAGUCAGAUAUAACCAUUUUUACUUUUUGGGUUUAAUUUAUAAUUGGACUAUUAUCGUGAUUGAAUAUUAGUUUAGUCAAUAAAUUAUUCGAUCAGAUUUAAGUUUUAAAAUACUACAUAAAUCCAUUACAUAUAGUUAGAAUUUAAUAUAACCAUGUUUUAUUAGAAAGCAAUCACAUAAUGGAAUACACAUUGUCGUCUUAUCAAUUUUAAAUUCUUAGAGUAUUAUAUAAAUUUGGUAAAUUUUUUUCCCACUAGGUACGUGAUGUGCUUAUUAUAUAUUAACUCUAAAGAAAAGUACGAGUUUUCACCUUUAAAAAGAAUAUAUUUUUAAAAGAUGAAAAUGGAGAAGAGAAGAAUCAAUUUCAAAUACUUAUAUACGUUUCAAAUAAUUACAAAAAACUGUACUAUGGAAACUAUUCUAAAACCAAUAGAUUUAUGUUAUGAAACAACUAAAAUGUGGAAGUUCCUUUGUAUUCCCAAGAGAAUUAAUUCAUGAUUUAUGGCUAUAUUAUGUAUAGAAGUUACAAUCCAUAAAUCUAUUCAUGUAGUGGAGAAACCAUUUCAUAGGUUUCUUCAUAUUAUUGUAGUAGUGGGUGUUUAAUAAAAUUGAUGUACCUUUAAUCUUGUAAUACCUAUAUAUAGAGGUACAUUGACACCCUUUGGGAUGACUUUUGUAUCUUAUUGGAAUAUAAGAAUAUCACUCUCCAUUUCUCUACUUCUUUCUCCAAUAUUUCACUUGAUAUUAUAGUAGCUUAUUUUAUUAGUUUUAUAACACGUUAUCAGCACGAAAUCUCUACUUUUGAGCAAAAGGUGAAAACGGAGGCUCUAUCUUGAACAAAGGUGAAGCACAAGAUUUUGUCGAAAUUCUGCCCAUAUUUCUUCAAGAAAAUUCUGAGGUAAAUUUCUAACUCAAAAACUUAUUUCAAUUUCUUAUGGGUAAUCUUACAAAACAAGAGUUCAUACCUCUUGAUAUUUCUGGAAAAAAUUAUUUAUCAUGGGUAUUAGAUGUUGAAAUUCAUCUUGAGGCAAUGAGUCUUGGUAAUACUAUUGUGGAAAAAAAUGAAUUCUCAAGCCAAGACCGUGCCAAAGUUAUGAUUUUCCUUCAUCAUCAUUUAGAUGAAGGAUUAAAAAUAGAGUAUCUUACUGUUAAAGAUUCUCUUGUCCUUUGGCGAGAUUUGAAAGAAAGAUUCGACCACCUGAAGUUGGUCGUUCUUCAAAAGCCCGAUAUGAUUGGCUUCACUUACGGCUGCAAGAUUUUAAAUCUGUCAACGAAUAUAAUUCAGUCAUGUUCAGAAUCACUUCUCAAUUAUCAUUAUGUGACGAAAAAGUCACUGAUGAAGAUAUGUUAGAGAAAACAUUUUCUACUUUUAAUAUCUCUAACAUGCUCCUGCAGCAGCAAUAUCGAGAGAAGGGAUUUAAAAAUAUUCUGAACUUAUCGCAUGUCUUCUCUUGACUGAACAAAAUAAUGAAUUAUUGCUGAAAAGCCAUGAGUCCCGACCAACUAGUGCAAGUCCAUUCCCUGAAGCGAAUGCGACCCAGUUUUAAAAUUCUGGUCGAGGUCGUGGACGUGGCCGUGGAGGAGGCCGUGGACGUGGCCGUGGCCGUGAACGUGAUCGUAGUAAAUUUGUGCUCCAUGAAAAUUUUAACCGUGGCAAACAACAAAAUGUUUCCCAAAAAAGGGAAAAUAACUACGAUCAGAAAAUGGAGAAAAGAAAAUUUAUGAAGAAAAAUGCUACCGAUGUGGUAUGGAAGGUCAUUGGUCUCGUACCUGUCGUACGGCUGAAUAUCUUAUUGACCUCUAUCAAGCAUCAUUGAAAAAGAAAGACAAAGGUGUUGAGACAAAUUUCAUUGAUCAAAAGAAUGAUUAUGAUGAUGCUGAUAUGACACACCUCGAUGUAACUGAUUUUUUUGAGCAUCCUGAAGAUGUUAACAAAUAUCCCAUGAUUAUUUAGAUAUUUUUAUGAUACUUUAUAUCUUUCAUAUAAUUUCCUUUCCAUUGAAUAUUUAUUUUCGCAUCUUUAUUAAUAUUUAUUUUUAUUUAAAAUUUUCUUCCUGAAGAAGAAAUAGAUGUCAAAUAUUUGGGAUUAAAUAAUGGUGAUGAUAAUAUUUGUCUCAUUAAUAGUGCUACUACGCACACCAUAUUGAAAAAUAAAAAAUAUUUUUUUUGUUUGAAAAUGAGAGAAACAAACGUUAAUACCAUUAGUGGUAGUGCAAAAUUGAUUGAAGGCUCCGGAAGAGCCACUAUAUUUCUCCCUGGAGGGACUAAAAUUAUUGUAAAUAAUGCACUAUUCUCUCCCAAGUCUCGAAGAAACUUAUUGAGUUUUAAAGAUAUCCACGAAAAUGGAUAUCAUAUCGAGACAAUGACUGAGACAAAUGGUGAAUUUUUAUUAAUCACAAGUAUCAUUUCUGAAAAAAAUGCGUAGUAGAAAAAUUAUCUUCUUUUUCUUCUGGGUUAUAUUAUGCACAAAUUAGUGCAAUUGAAAUUCAUCACCUAGUAGACCAGAAGUCUACUCUUCCUAAUGAUUUUAUGGUUUGGCAUAAUUGUCUCAGACAUCCCGGAUCUAUAAUGAUGAGACGAAUAAUUGAGAAUUCACAUGACCACUCAUUGAAAAAUCAAAAAGUAUUAACAGUCAAUGAAUUCUCUUGUGUUGCUUGUUCUUAAGGGAAAUUAAUUAUUAGACCAUCACAAGUUAAAGUUGGGACUGAAUCCCCUGCAUUUCUAAAACGAAUUCAUGGUGAUAUAUGUGGGCCUGUAGAUCCACCAUGUAGACCAUUUCGAUAUUUUAUGGUGCUAAUUGAUGCAUCAACUAAAUGGUCACAUGUAUGUUUAUUAUCUACUCGUAACUUGGCAUUUGCGAGAUUGCUUGCUCAAAUAAUUAAAUUACGAGCACAAUUUUCAGAUUACCCAAUAAAGAAAAUUCAUCUAGAUAAUGCUGGUGAAUAUUCGUCACAUGCUUUUGACGAUUAUUGUAUGUCCAUUGGAAUAACUGUUGAACAUUCUGUAGCUUAUGUUCACGCACAAAAUAGUCUAGCUGAAUCACUUAUUAAACGGUUACAAUUAAUUGCUAGACCAUUGUUGAUGAGGUCUAAACUUCCUUUACUUGUUUGGGGACAUGCUAUUUUACAUGCAGCAACACUUGUGAGAAUUAGACUGACAAGUUAUCAUACUUAUUCUCCCCUACAAUUAACUUUUGGUUAUGAACCCAAUAUUUCUCAUUUACGAAUAUUUGGUUGUGCGGUGUAUGUCCCAAUUGCACCGCCCCAACGUCAUAAAUUGGGCCCCCAAAGAAGAUUGGAGAUAUAUGUCGGAUAUGAAUCACCUUCAAUCAUUAAAUAUAUGGAACCAUUAACAGGUGAUUUAUUUACUGCGAGAUCUGCAGAUUGCCAUUUUGAUGAAUCACAUUUUCCGACAUUAGGGGGAGAUAAAAAUCAACCUAAAAAGGAAAUCACUUGAAAAAAAUCGUUGAAUUUCCUUGAUCCUCGUACUAUAGAAUGUGAACUAGAAGUUCAAAGGAUUAUACAUUUGCAAAAAAUUGCAAAUCAAUUACCGGAUGCAUUUAAUGACUCCAGAAGAGUUACUAAAUCACAUAUUCCUGCUAAAAAUGCUCCGAUUAAAAUUGAUGUCCCUGAAGGACAAAUUACAAGUGCUAAUGAGUUUAAAGCAUGCUUGAAGCGUGGGAGACCUCUUGGUUCCAAAGAUAAAAAUCCUCGAAAGAAAAAAGGAGUAGAUGAAUCAACAAUUAGUGACAAAAUUCAACCUCCUGAAGAGGUCGCUCCUACAAAUCCAAUUCUUGAAGAGAAUGAAAUUAUAGAAAAUUCAAUAAAUUUUGUCAUUUCAAAAAAAAGUUGGAACCGAAAAGAAAUAAUUAUUGAUAGUAUUUUCGCAUAUAAUGUAGCACUUGAUAUUAUGGCAGAGGACGAGGAUCAUGAGCCUAGAUCGGUUGAUGAAUGUCGAGGUAGAAAUGAUUGACCAAAAUGGAAAGAUACGAUCCAAUCUGAAUUGGACUCACUGGCUAAAAGAAAAGUUUUUGGACCUAUAGUCCAAACACCUAAAGGUGUAAAACUAGUAGGAUAUAAAUGGGUAUUUGUGAGAAAAAGAAAUGAGAAAAAUGAAAUUGUGAGGUAUAAAACAAGACUUGUAGCUCAAAGAUUUUCACAAAGGCCUGGAUUUGAUUAUGAUGAAACGUAUUCACCUGUAGUGGAUGCUAUCACAUUUAGAUAUCUUGUAUGUUUUGCAGUACAUGAAAAAUUAGAUAUGUGUCUAAUGGACGUCGUUAUUGCAUAUUUAUAUGGGAAUCUUGAAAAUGAUAUUUAUAUGAGAAUCCCCGAAAAGUUCAAUAUGCCUGAAGCAUGCAAAUCAAAUCUUAAAAAUAUUUAUUCUAUUAAAUUACAAAGGUCUCUGUAUGGGUUUAAACAAUCUGAACGUAUGUGGUAUAACCGCUUCAAUGAAUGUUUAACUAAAGAAGGUUAUACAAAUGAUCCAAUAUGUCCAUGUAUUUUUAUCAAGAAAAAUGGAUCAAAUUUUGUGAUAAUUGCUGUAUAUGUUGAUGAUCUAAAUUUGAUUGGAACUCCUGAAGAGAUUCAAAAUAGUGUUGAAUAUUUGAAGAAAGAAUUUGAGAUCAAAAUUUUGUAAAGACAAAAUUCUGCCUUGGUUUGCAAAUUGAGCAUUUGAAAGGUGGAAUUUUUGUCCACCAAACUGCUUAUACCCAGUAGGUAUUAAAGCGAUUUUAUAUGGAUAAAACACAUACAUUAAGUACCCCAAUGAUCGUCAGAUCAUUAGAUCCUAAUAAAGAUCCUUUUAGACUAUGAGAGGAAAAUGAAAAUAUACUUGAUCCUGAAGUACCAUAUCUCAGUGCAAUUGGUGCACUAAUGUAUCUUGCUAAUUGUACAAGACCGGAUAUAUCAUUUGCAGUGAAUUUAUUAGCAAGAUUUAGUUCCUCACCCACAAGACGACAUUGGAAUGGCAUUAAACAUAUUUUUCGCUAUCUCCAAGGAACAAUUGAUUUGGUUUAUUUUAUUCAAAUAAAUCCAAAUCCGAAUUGGUUGGUUAUGCUGAUGCUGGGUAUUUAUCUGACCCGCAUAAAGCAAGAUUUCAGACUGGCUAUCUAUUUACAUAUGGAGGUACAACCAUUUCUUGGCAAUCUACAAAACAAUCAUUAGCCGCCACUUCAUCGAAUCAUGCUGAAAUAAUAGCAAUUCAUGAAGCCAGUCGAGAAUGUGUUUGGUUAAGAUCAAUGACCCACUAUAUUCGAAAGAGUUGUGGGUUAUCCUCCGAAAAAGAAAAUCCUCCAACUAUAUUAUAUGAAGAUAAUACAGCUUGUAUAGCCCAAUUGAAAGGAGGAUAUAUUAAAAGAGAUAGGACAAAGCAUAUUUCACCAAAAAAAUUUUUACUCAUGAUUUGCAAAAGAAUGGUGAAAUUGAUGUGUAACAAAUCCGAUCAGAUAAUAAUUUGGCGGAUUUAUUUACCAAGGCAUUCCAACUGCAACAUUUGAGAAAUUGGUGAAGAGUAUUGGAAUGCGACGAUUAAAAGAUCUCAAAUGAUAUUUGCAUCAGGGGGAGAAAUUAAUACACAAGAAUAGUGUACUCUUUUUCCUUCACUAGGAUUUUUGUCCCGAUGGGUUUUUCUCUAGUAAGGUUUUAACGAUGCAUAUUCUUUGUGUAGUAGACAUCCAAGGGGGAGUGCUAUGAAACAACUAAAAUGUGAAUGUCCCUUUGUAUUUCCAAGAGAAUUAAUUCAUGAUUUAUGACUAUAUUAUGUAUAGAAGUUACAAUCCAUAAAUCUAUUCAUGUAGUGGAGAAACCGUUUCAUAGGUUUCUUCAUAUUAUUGUAGUAGUGGGUGUUUAAUAGAAUUGAUGUACCUUUAAUCUUGUAGUACCUAUAUAUAGAGGUACAUUGACACCCUUUGGGAUGACUUUUGUAUCUUAUUGGAAUAUAAGAAUAUCACUCUCCAUUUCUUUACUUCUUUCUCUACUUCUUUCUCCAAUAUUUCACUUGAUAUUAUAGUAGGUUAUUUUAUUAGUUUUAUAACAAUUUAUAACAUAAUAAAAUAUGAAAAAGGCUAAAGAAUCUAUGCAAAAAAUUUCAUUUAGGAUGUACUCAUAUACAAUUAAUUAUCACUAGAAAUAAUCCAACAUGAUUUGACAUGUAAUUCAUUAUUAAUACUAUAUUAGUUAUACGUAUAAUGUUUAAGAAAAAGCAAGUAGUAACAUAUUUGGAAAAAAUAUAAAAAAUAUAAAAAAAAAAUACGAGUUUACAAGAAGUUAAUCCAUCCAUAUUUUGAAAUUUAUGAAACUAUUUUGUUUGUCGCUUUGUUGUCAAAAUUAGUAACAUAAUGCGUUCGUAGUCUUGCCAUCACUUCAUGUAUGCAAUUACUUUUCUUUCAAAAAUUUUUGCACACAAUUGUAUUGAUAAUAUUUAUUAUUCUGUUGCCAUAAUAUAGAAAUUAUAUAUUUCAUAUGUUACACUUUUUAAGUUUUGAAUUUUCAUUUCAUCCAUGGACCGCAAUCAAUGGGGCAUAGUUGGACAACUCCAUUUUACGUUCUUAACCUAUCACUAUUAGUACGUGGGUCCUAUGCUAUAUGCUAGUUGAUGGCUAAAAAACAGUUCGAACACCCAUUUGUUUUCCUUAUGGUUAAAUGUAAAACCCCCUCCCUCCCAAUGAACUUUUAUAGCUGUUGCACAAUAUACCCCAAAAGUAUGUUUAUAGACACUUUGUACCUUAAGAAAAUUGUCGUUCACAGAUUUAACAAUGAAACAAAGCGUGCGUCUCACAAACUCUAUUCAUUGAAAUUUCCUGGUAAAAUUGCCCCUCCUUCCAAACGACUAUAAAUUGCUAUCUCCACCCAUCAUCACCUAUCAUGCUUUUCAUUUAAUAUCAUUUUCUUCACAGCUUUUCUUCUUUUAUUUCCUCUUCUUUCACAGAUGUUGCAUAGUCUUUUACACACAUGAAGCACAGUCCUAAUAGUUGUAGCUCAAGCAAUGCAUUUCAAGCAACAAAUUUCAACUGAAGAUGUAGGUGCGGAAGAAUAGUACAUUUACGCACUUCAUGGACCAUUCACAAUCCAAGAAAAAAUUUUUUAGGAUGUUCUAAUUAUUAGGUAAGUCCAAACAUACUACAAUUUCAGUGAAUCAAAGGUAAUAACAGCAACUUAUUCUGGAUUCUUUUGUAAAUAGAAUGCUAAUGCAUGCGGGUAUUUUAAGUGGGUGAAACUUGAAACAUGCAAAAAGGAAUGGAAAUUAGAGCAUAUUUUCAUGGCCAAAUGGAAGAAAUAUAGGUAAGGACGAACCAUCUGUAGCAACAAAAUGAGCAGCUACAAAGAGCAUAUGAAAGAGUGAAUGGUGCAAGAGUUUGUAGUAUGCUUCAAAAUGACCAAUUGGUAGCCAAAUGUGAAGAAUUGAAAGCUAUAAUCCAAUCAUUGUAAGAAACCGUGGCCAAAUAUUAAGAAGCUCUUAAAGAAAGAAGAAGAAUCGACUCCAAAGGGAGGAAGCUGCACUUUUUUAUUCUAGUGGUACUUGUUGUAAUGAAAGAAAAGAAAAAGGAACAAGUGUAUCUCCUACCAUGAACACCAUGUAAUAUGAACCUUUAAGUUAGUACAAAAUUAUGGUUUAUUGUAAAAAGCACCACAGUGCUGGUUUCAUGUUAGAAAAAAAAAGCAAUAUGGAAAAAAUAAACAGCAUAACAAUAAAAAGAAUAAAGGCAGAAACUUCAUAAUCCACUCCAUAGUUCAUUAAUGAAAUAUUAUAAAGCAUGUUGUAUAAACCACCAGGAAGAUCAUCUUUCACCGUACUAAUACAAAGUAUCAAAAUAUCAUAUCAUAGUAUUCAACCAAACAAAAAAAGACCAUAACUGUCUAAACCCUUCAAAAGUAUGUAUUCAUUACAAAAGAGAAAUAUAUCCUUUUCGAGCUACAUGAUCAUCCUAAUAGUUAGACAAACCUUCAUUAGGUGAUACCCAAGAGUGUUGAUGCACAUAUGUCCUAGUGCAAGAAAAUCGACUGGAGAACAAAAGAUCACCAAAUCUUGUUGAAUGCCUUUGGAUCUAGUACAAAUGAAAACAAGAUAUUGGUCAAGUAUAUUUACAUUACAUUGCAUGUGAAUUGUAUAUGAACUGUAGUGGUAUGGUACCUUGAUUAGCAUUGGUAUUAGCACUCAAUUGUAAAUCUCCAAUCAGGAGAUUAUUAGUCUACUAAUUAAAUAGGACAUUAGUUUGUUAAAAUGUAGCUGUGAUUAAGCAAAUGUGUACUAAAAUGCAGCUGAAAUACUUACCAUUGGAGCUGUCCAAGUUUCAGUACUAUUUUGAGGCUGCAUGGCCUUUUAAGUCACCUGCCAUUAAUAAGAAAGACAUUAAUACAAGUUAAAAUUGAUGAAAUAAAAACAUACAUAAUGACUAAGAUAAUAUUAGGUCACCACAUCAAUUCAACUAAGUUUCUGCCAUCAGACAUGUUAAUACCAUUCCAAUUUCCAAAUCCAAAAAGUGAUGGAGAACAUCUUGAAAAUGCACCUCUCCUUCUUUUCCCUCUUUCCCCACCUCUAGAUGAUGAUUCCCCUCUCCUAUCAUUACCUCUUUCCCUUUCAUUACCCUUUCCAUUACCUUUUCCGUAACCACUGUCAUUAGCAUGAUUUACUCUUUGUGUUACUAGAUUAAUUGUUUUUAGUCUUCCACCAACAUUUCUUGGUGGGGCUAUACCUCCUCUUCUAUUUGUUUGAGUGGUAGAAUGCUGUCUAGUAGCAUCUUUACCUUACAGAAAUGACCAAACCAAUAAAUAAGCUAAUUAAAAAAAAUAUUAAACAUAAUUUAAGGCAUUAUACACAACCUAUCUUGGUUUCUUGCUUGUCUUCUCAUUGUGACCAGGCUUAUUACAGUUGCUAUAUUGGGCUAUAGUACCUUUUUUGGGUAUCACAUUACCAUUGACAAGCUCAUCUGCACCUUUUCUUUGUAACUUUCUUGGUCUGUUAGGUCUUCUCCUUACUUUUGGUGGCUGAAUAGGUAGUCCACCUGUUUGUAUCCAUAGACUAUCUUCUGGAAUAGGAACCACCAUACUCUUAUAAGCUCUAUUGUAGUACUCUACACUAUAGUAUGAAUGGACAUGGUCUGCUAGUUCUUAAUUAGAAUCUAUAAUUGCUAUACAUACAUGUACACAAGGAAUGCCAGUUAUAUUCCACUCUCUAUAAGUACAAGUUCUUGCAUUCAGGUUAAUAAUUUGUGCCCUACAUAGGAUGCGAUCUCCCAUAUGCCUUGACGAAAUUGAAUAGCUUCAUAUUCCAUUGUUUGUGCCUUAAUUUUCUCCACCUUGUCAUGAAUUCUUGAACAAAAUUUUCCCUUGACCUUAGAUAUGAAUUCUCUCUUUUCUUAGUAUCUACACAUGAUAAGCUUUCUGAUUGUUUCAAACAUAGAUAAAAAUUGGCUCCUCCCUUACCUCCUUAAUAUAUCGAUUAAAGGAUUUACUAACGUUGUUGUUCAAAAGAUCAUACUUUCAUCUUGGAUUGAACAUAUAUUUUUUAUUAGCAACUUGGAGUUCUCUCAUUUUUAUGUCCAACUAUCUGGCUCAUAUGCCCUUAAUAGUAGUCUACAUGAUAUUUUUUAGUGCCUUGUCCUUAAACUUGAGUUUGACAUUGGCAUAUAUAUGCCUAACACAGAACCCAUGUUCCACCCCAGGAAACAACACAUCAAUUGUCUCUACUAGACCUUACAAAAUAGCAACACCAUGGAUCAAAUUAGGUUUAAUUAUACGGCAGUAACAAACUAAUAUGAAUGUUGAAAAAAAUAAAUGGUAAGUUUAUCUUUUGUCUGUCAGAAAUUAAUACACAAUUCAUGACAGUGAACAAAUAUGAGUAGUCAGAAGUUCUAGAAACUAAUGCCAGCUUUCCUUACAUUCAGAUUCCACAUGUGUCAUUACCAUAAGAUACAUCUGAUUGUUUCCAUCUCUCUCAACAGCUUGCAUCAGAUGUCCCCCAAAUCUUCCUUUGAGAUGGCAAGCAUCUAAACCAACAACUAAUCUACAUCCAAUGGUAAAUCCAUUUUUUCGUGCCCUAAACAUAACAAACAUUCUCUAAAAUAAGGAUUGACAGAGACUGGAACAACUUCUAUUAUUACAUAAGCUGUAGAACUAGGGUUUUUCAGCAUAAUGAUUGUACAAUAAUCUCUGAGUCUAGAAUAUUAUUUUUUAUGAUUCCCUCACAUUUCAAAAAGAGCAUGGUUCUUGACUUUAUACACUUUCCAUCUAGAAACUCUUAAUUUAAAAUUUCUUUUAAUCGUUUUUCGAAAUUCCUUAAGUCUCUAGUCCGGAUCAUUAGCCAAUUCCUUUUUGAAGCAUUUGGCCAACCAUCUAGAAUAUGCACUAACAUUCUUAAAAGACUAAGGACACCUAUGAAGGUUGCUCAUUAUGCUCUUGACCUGCAAUGCUUUAGUCUACCUAUAAUAAAUUGCAUAUAUCCUCCAAACACAUUCUCUUUUACAUAUUGCAAUGAUUUUGUUACUAUCAUUUUUUUUCAACUUCAACUCAAAACCUUUAAGGAUGGAAUACAUCUAAAUUGCCUUCCUGAGCAUAUGUGUGGUUGUGAAAAUGAGGCCCACCUUAAUUCAUAUCACUCAAGAAAUUGUUCUCUAUUUUCAUCCUCAGAGGAUUGAAUAGCAGUUUUUAGUACUUUAGCAUUAAUAAUAUUUUCAUACUCCAAAAAUUUACCCUCUUUCCUAAUCUCAACAAAGGGUCUAUACUCAUCACUAAUUAAUUUAGCAUAUUGUUGGUACUCUCCUAAGUUAAUAUUAUUGUCUAUCUCACUAUUAUCAUCACCAAUAUCACAGCCAUCACUUAAUGUGUCCCCAUCUAAGAAAAAAUCAAAAUCUAAGUUAUAUUCAGAAGAUUGCUCACUUUUAGGUGUGUAUGAUUCAUCAAAUUCUAUUUCUGAUUCAUUUAUAUCGUGGUCAACCUCUAAUUCAAGAUUAUCAUUCACCCCACUAGCCCCUAAACCACCAUUACCAUUCUAAGCUCCCUUAUUAGCAUUCAUAUUGACAUUACCUACAGCUCCAUUAUCAUCUUACUUAUCCCCAUUAUCAUUGAUCUCUCUAACACGGAUACGAAUGUAUGAUUCAUCUGUAAACAUCCUAAAGAUUUCCAUAACUGAAGCUUUACUAUUUAAUAAGGCAAAUUCACAAUCUAGCAUUUUAUAACAAACCUUUAUAGGCAAUUGUAGUCCUUUCAACAUCCCCCAAAUCUCAAAUCUAGACAUAAAAUCUGGGUAAAUAUUAUUGAAAUAUUUUAUAUUCCCACCCACAUAUGUUAGUCUUGGAUUAUGUACAAAAUGAACCCUAUAAUGAAUUUCGAAUGAGAACUAGAGCUGUAAAUGAACCGAAUCAAACUGAAUAUCUCAUGUUUAACCUCUGUUCAUUAAACUACUCGAACAAGGCUCAUGUUUGUUUGAUAAUAAUCAAACUCCAAAUCUGUGUUCAUGUUCAACUCGUUAAAUAAAAUAUGUAUUCGAGUUCAAGAUCGAACUCGACUCGUUUAACACAAAUGAGCCGUUCCUGAAUAGGCUUGAGAUGUUCAAAUUCACACCCUUUGUCUCAUAAAAUAGAUACAAUUUGCUUGUCUAUAGUAUUAACUAUUAACUAUUAAUAAAUAACAACAACCUAAAUUCCACUAAUCCAAUCUUGUCAUGCUACAUAAAAUGAAAAUAUGACAUAUAAAUCAUCCUCAUAAACAACUAAAUCACUAAGUCAUUCUCAUGAAUCCCAUCAUUCAUUAACUACAUAACAAUAUAACAUAGAGACAAUUAGCAAAGUAACAAGACAAAGCAAUUUGUCUUCGGAAGACUAAAGUCCAAAUAUCAGUCAAGUACAAUUUAACAACUACUUCAUGUAGUUCAUCCAUCCACUUUAUGCAUCAGUUACAGCAAAGAAAUUUUGGUUGGGCCAACUUCUUUGUACUUGAAAACAAUCAGGUGGAUAGAUGCAUAAGUAUUUUUCCCCCCAAAACUCUACAAAGAAUACAAUGCAUUAGCCAUAAAAGUUGACCAAUCAACAAAGAGAAUGUAGAACAAUCUAGUAGUCUAUAUUGAUAGACUAAUCAAGCAAGUAGUCUAUUUUGAAAUAAUUAGUAUUCAAAAUAACUAUUUAAAGAAAACCACACAUCACAUAUGGAUAUAGAAGAAAUAAAAACAUUGAAAACUUCAAAAUAACCAAUCAAAAGUACUGAAACUUUAGAAUUUAAAAUGAGUACAGUGAACUGCAUGCUUUUAAUUUGGGAGUACAACUUCUUCAUAUGCCUUCAAGUCCUUAACACUCGACGAUUUCUACCAAAAAAAAUUAAAAUUAUAUAAAGAUGGUGGAUUUAUAAAAAUUAGAGAAACAAGGAAACAUAACAUAUAUGACAUAUUACCUUUGAAUAACUUCUUGUAAGUCCAUGUAAAUUUCAAACCCAAUUAUUAGCGCAAAGUAACAUCUGGACUAUGUCAAUGGACAUGAAAGAACAACGAUCAUCAAUGACUCUACCAUUAGCACUAAAAGUAGAUUCUGAAACCACAACAUUUCUGGAAUAGAUAAUAUGUCAACAGCUAGCUUUAAUAACACUCGAAAUCUCUGUCUUUCGUCUCUUCACCAACUCAAGACAUCUAGAUUUACACUUGAAGCACUAUUGUAUCUCUUUUUACUCAAAUAAAUAUUUAAAUUUGAUUAUUUUGGUGAUAUUUUUUCUUUGCUACUCACAUGCAUUUCAAAUUUAACUUUGUCAGUUAACACAUUGUUUCCAAUUUUUUCUACCGCCAUAGAACUGAAACUAAAAGCAUAACUAUUUUUAGUUUUUCUGUGUUUUGGUAGAAGCACUUUUUUAACAAAAGAUGAAGCGAUCGAAGAAGCAUACUCAUUAUAAAGAUCAUGAAAACCUCUUUUAUUUUAGCAAUGUCUCUAAGACCUACUUCAUUACUAUAAAUAAUUGGAAAAGCAUAGUCAAUGAGUACAACUUUAUAUAUUGGAUCUAAAAUAACACUUAAAAAAAAAGUAGAAUAUUACUUUCACCCCAAUAUUUGUCCAAUUUUGAAGCCAUGCUUGCAACCAUGGCUCUAAUGUGGUUAGAAGGAUUCACAAAUUUUUUAUUUAGAAACUCCUUAAUUCCAUAAAGUUCUGGUAGGAAAAUAUUGACAGUUGAAUAUUUACUUCCAGAAAUCAUCCUAGUUAUUUCAUGAAAAUAUCAAAAAAUUGACACACUUCUUCAACUUUCAUCCAAUCAUAUUAACUAAGAACAUAAUGAAAGUCCAGAUCAAUAUCUGUAUAUCUCCAAAACACAUAUUUAAAUUCUAUAACUGAAACCAAUAUCAAACAUGUCCCAUUCCAACGUGUGGGACAAAUCUUGAAUCAAUUUUUUGGAGACAAAUAAAGCUAUUUUUUUUUAUCUUGUUGAAUUCAUUGAGGUGAGACUCUGAAUGUUUAGGUACUCAAUCCCCUCUCCAACAGUAUCAAUCGUUUUUCCUGUUUGACUAAGACAAUCUUGUACCAAAAGAUUAAGUAUAUAUACACAUCAAUGAACAUACAAGUGUUUUCCCUCAACAUUUAAUUGUUUUCUCAACGAAAAGUCUUCUUUUGACCUCCAAACACACACAUCAUUAUACAAAGCAUUAUCCAUGGUAAUGUUACAAAUUUUAUUCUUAAUGCCCUAUUGAAUAAAACACUUGUUAAGAGGAUCAAUUAUAAUAACUCCAAUAUAUGGGAAAAAUUCAAUACAUGCUUUUACCGCACCCAAUUCAAAUCAAUAAAGUAUCCAAUUACGAUCAUAUAUACUGAAUUUUUUAGGUUGAUUUCCAUAAAUCUAUUGUGAUCCCCUUUAGUAAUGAUAUCAACUUCUUCUUUUCCAAUUCAUGAGUAGAAAUGCAGUCUUUCUUCAUAGUUUGUCUACUAAUUUUUAUAUAAUAUGGAGAAGCAACUUUCAUGAACUUGUUAAAAUUUCAUGAUCCAAGGUUGUAAAGGGACAUUCAUAUGCCAAAAUAAUAUGAGAUGUAAGUUCCCAUACCUUAACAUAAUCAUAUCUAAAGUUUGUAAUUGAAAUCAUGCCAUCCAAUGGUGUUUUUGCUGUGAAAGAUAGAACUUUUUGUUGCAUCCUCUUUUUUCCCUCAUCUUCCAGCUUCUUUUGUAGACAAUUCUUCAAAUGCCUAUUGUAAGUAUUUGUGGUACCACUAGUAUUCAUCUUCCAUGCCUUUUUGCAAUGCUUACAUAUUACUUUAAUUCAUCCAUCAGUUUGAGCUUCUCAAUCCAUGUCAUGCCAUAUUUUAUAUUUCAAUGCUCUAGUCUUCUUUUGAAAUGGUUUAGUCAUUUUUUCUUUAUUUUCAGCAAGUAUUUGAAUUUCAACAACUUCAUGCAUCUCAUCACCAACGACAAGCAUCAUACCUUUAUUACUAGGAUCCAUACUAGGACUUGUGGAAGCGCCUUGAUGUGAACUAUAAGGGGAACUUGACGUACCCUACUUGCAAUAGGAAAAGGAAUAAUUAGAAAACUGAAACUACUAAUCAAUGAAAGAUUAAACAAACUAUAUUAGUAUAGCUAAACAAAAAUGAGUAAAUCUUAUAUACACUGAUAGUGUAUACACUAUCACGAUUGGAUGCACGACAUAUAUGCAAAAUUUGAGUUUCAAAUUCAAAUUCGGAUUAUUUAUCAUACAUCUAACGGUGAAAGUGUAUACACUAUUAGUGUAUAAAAGAUUAAUCCAACAAAAAUAUGUACUAUUUACUAACAAAUUAACAAAGAUGCUAUUAACUGAUAAAUAAUAAUGAAUUCGAUAUCUUCUAGCACAACACAAAGAAUUAAACUAUUAAUCACUCCAGAAACUAAAGUUUCAACUUAAAGAUAAAAAUACAUAAUUGAGCUCUCAUUCUAAAGUUCAAGAAAAUACAAAUAAAAAUAUCCACUUACUUGUAUUUUUAACAAAAACCACCUGAGGUCGAAAAUCAGAAGACAUUUGAAUAGGAAAUAACAUAAAUAGUCAACACGUGAGACGUGGUUAGAUCUUCCUCUGAUAAAUGAGACUUUACUAGAUUUUCAGUGUCAAACCUUACUAAACUUUAUAUUUAGGUCCUUACCUAUUAUGAUAUCCCGAAAUUGACUAGAUUUUCACUAUCAAACCUUACUAGACUUUGUAUUUAGGUUCGUCUUCAAUGAAGUUACAAAUUAAUGACAUGAGUUUAUAGGCAACUUGAAUUGCAUGUCUAUCUAACUUAAAAUUUUAAAUUUUCGAAAAUUCUAACAAAAUAGGCAACAAGAAGAAAAUCAUAAUGGGCAAAAGAAUUUACAAGAUUUUUCUGUGGUUCUUAAGCUCAACAAUGAGAAUAAUUUAGUUGUUACCAGCAUCAUAGAGGAUCCAGGAUUUAGUUCUUGAAGUCAAAAGACAUUUGAGAAGAAAAUAACAUAAAUAGUCAAUAUCUAGUUUAGAAAGCAUCCCUAAAAUUAAGACUGGAAAAUCUAAAAUUCAAUGAAUUAGAGCUAAACAAGAUCAAAGUUUUAAGCAAAUAAAAUUAACACACCUUGGAGAGAUAGUCCUAAGCACCUCAGACUCUCAGUGAUGACACUGGUGGCAAUAAGGAUCAUGGCCAUUUGUAGAAGACUAAAAGGAGAAGGUUUGGUGAUGUGAAAUUGAAAGAGAAAUUUAGGAAGGUUUGGUGGUGACGAGACAAUGGUGGUGACGAACUUGACAGUGGUUGAUGGGCAUGUGGUAGUGGUGGCAAGCAGCGUCGGCAAUUAGGAAGAAGUGAAGAUCAGAAACUUUCAACUUUGUGAAGUUGGACUAUACGAGCUAAUAAAGGCUAGAGAAAAGUGGAACAACUGGAAUAGGAUAGGAAUUAGGAUAAAAAUUGUAACAAUACUAACCCUAAAUUUUAUGAAAUGACCAUUAAGCCCAUGUUCACAAACGAUCGUUUAAUCUCGCGAACACGCUCGUGUUCAUUCGAUUACUUAUCAAGUCAAAAUAUUUGUUCAUACUCGAGUCAUAUACAAUUUUGAACGAAUCCUUAUCGAACAUGAACAAGUCUAAGCGAGUCGAGCUAACGAAUAGCUCGGUUUGUUUAACAACUUUAAUGAGAACAUAUCUUUCAACUGCAAUGACCACACUGGUAUGAGACAACAAUAUAAUAAUACAUGUGAGGGACCAUAAAAACACCAUUACUACUUAGUUAACAUAUAGUACUCGGUAAAAUUAGUUUAAAAAUGACCCAUGUUCAACAUAAUAUAAUCUUGUAAAGAAACCUAUGAACAACCAAAUUAUUGCAUGAAAAUGACAAAAAACAAAAAAUGGUCACAAUCAGCCCGGCAGCAGACCAACAUAAGGACCACAUGCAUAAUAUAUUCCACAACGACCAUAGAAAUACACAUUCUAAAACCCAAACUACAAGUACGAACAAGCAGAUCCACACAAAAAGGUAAAAAGUUGAUUAAAGAAAGAAAAAGUAAGGCUUUGCAUAUUACCUGAUUUGCUGAAUUUCUAUAGUGAUUAAGAUUCCACCAUGAUUUAGAUUCUUCAAGGUGUCAUUUUCUCACUUUUGGUGUGCCUCUAUUGUGAUUCCCCUUUGCUUCUUCAUCGAUCGUAAGAAAAAAGCAAAAAUUUUUGCAAACUCAAGAAUGGAGGUUAUGAAGAACUAGUUCUCUCUUUCUUUUACCCUAAUUCUAAACAAAUAUCCUUUUGCAUCUUUCUGCUCCACACGUCACAAUGGGUACCCACCAAAAAUGUGUUUUUGUCCGUUCAAUUAUUACUUGAGGAUACAGUUGUCAUUUCAGUGGUAACGUAUCAGUAGAGUUAGAGUGCAAAGUGCCUAUAAACAUAUUUUGAAGUGUAUUGUGCAACAGCUAUAAAAGUUCAUAGGGACUUUUUGCAUUUAGUCCUUUCUCUUGCUUUUGGAACAGACCCAAAUUUCAAGGUUAGUGAUGCCAUUCUUACAUCCAUUCAACCCAUAUGGGGAGAAAAACUAAUUCUCCAUAGAAGAUAUAACCACAAAAGCUAAUCCUCCAUAGAAGAUAUCUAUGACCAAUAUUGUAGUACUUUUUGUGAUAUAAUAUACAUGAGAAAAAAGAUCGGUUGGGGAUAUAAAAGGUGUUUAAAAAAAUGUGUUUAUGAUAUAAGUAAAAAAAUUUUUGCAAAUAAGGCCCCGUUUGGAAGGUGAGUUUUUUGAGUGUUUGUAUAAAACUUUAUUGUAAAUCACUGUAGAAGUUGUAGAAAAACUUUUGUGAGAUGAAAAAACUUUUUUUCCUUUUCCUUUUCUUUCUUUCUUUUUCUUUUUACUCUUUUUUCUUUCUUUCUUUUUUCUUUUCCUUCCUCCCUUUCCUUUCCCCUUUCCCUCCCCUCUGCCCGCCACCCCUUUCCUCCCCUCUCCCCCACCACCCCUCUGCCUCACCUGCUGCAGCCUUAGUGGAACUGCAACUCCAGCUUUUCCGAUUUCCAAAACUACUACUACUACUACUAGUACUACUACGGAAAUCACUGGGCUCGUGGACAGAAACAGGUUUGAUGGAGCCGCUGCUCCUUUUCUUUUCCUCAUCAUUUGGAGAUGGCAGCUUUAUAGCUGCGGAGCUGCUCCUAUUGUUGCUGUUCAUCUUGAACUUCUUCUUUAUCCUUUCCUCCCUCUCCCCAUCCCCCUUCCCUCGCCCGAAGCAGCAACAGGAAAAUUUUUUUUUCCAAUUUUCCUUCUCUCCUUCUCCUCCCCUUCCCCCACCACCCUCACCCUCCCCCGGUGUGAUCUGGUCUCGCGACCAGAUCGGCUAGAGGGGAAGGGGAAGGGUGGUGGGGAAGGAGAGGGGGAGAGAGAGAGGGAGAAAAAAAAAGAGAGGGGAUCAAAAUCGGACAAAGGGGGAGGAUGGCAGGGGAGGAAGAGGGGGAGAGGGAGGGAGAAAAAAAAAAGAAGAUCGGCACCGGAAGAGGUGAUGGGCGCCGGAACCGGUUGCGGAGGUGGUGACCGGCAACGGAGGUGGUGUUGGGUUGGGGUGGGGGGAGAGAAGAAGAAAGAAAAGGGAAAGGGAUUUUUUUUAGUGUUUUAGAUAAUUUUAAAGUAUGUAGGUUAAAAAUUUUGAUAAGUUUUGGGGUUCCUGUAGUAAAAGUUGUUAAAAAACUAGUAUAAUACAAACUUGGCUUAAAACCAAGGUUCCAAACAGCCCCCUGACAUACAAACAAACCAAGUAUUUGUCUUCACUUUUAUACUAAUUGAGAAAAAAAAGAACAAACUUUACUUUGCAUCCUCGAACUUGUAUCAUUUUCUCAUCUUACACCCUAAACUUCAAUUUUAAAAAACCGUGUACUCUAAAUUCUCAAUUUUGGACAUUUUAUACCUUGAACUCUCAAGUUUGUUCUAUUUAAAACCAGUUAGCAGCAAUUUUUGCAAAAUUAAUCACAUAGAGGUUCCAAUAAAUCAAUAAUAAUGUGCUGAAAGUAAUCAAAAGGUGCUAUGAUAUGAUAACAAAAAUAAAAUAAUAUAUUAUCAUUAAUUUGCACCAUCCUUCAUCUCGUUAAUUUUGCUAACAAUAUUAGUAUUGAGACCAUAUGAAUAAAUGAUAAUAUGCUAAAAAUAGUUCAAAGAGUUAAACAAUCGUAGUUGGAACAAAACGAUACAUUAUUAUUAAAUUUCAUUGCCCUUUAUCACGUUAAUUUUGUGAAUGUAAUCAUUGAUUGGAUUUAAAUGCGACAAAUUUAAGAAUUUAGGGUGCAAAAUAUCUAAAAUUAAAGUUUAGGAUGUAAAGUGAGAAAGUGAUACAAGUUCAAGGGAGCAAAAUAGAAUUAAUCCAAAAAAGGAAAAAACAAAGAUUUUAAAGCUACUUCAUAGUUUGCUUUGUAUUGAAUUACCAAAAACAUUAAACUGAAGAUAGAUUUGAUAAUGUUUUACUCCCUCGAACCGGUCUUCUUAAUUGGAGGAGGGAUGAGUCAAGUGAUUCGAAUGACGGGAGUGUAAGUAAUAGCUUUAGGUUCGAACUUUUUCGCUUAAACUAAAUGAAUAAAUAAAUAAAUAGAACCUCCUUAAUUUUACUUUCCUCACUCAACCCUAUUAACAGAAACUUUUAAUCCCCUUCAAAGAUUACAUCAACAUUUACAAAUACGAAAGAUGACAUGCAUUUGUUUUGGACACAAAUGGCCUUUAUAGAAUUUCGCAUUUGAUAUCUUAUCUUAUUUUAUUUCUAGUCACUUGCCCUAUCAUUUUGAUUAUUUAUAACUUUUAACUAUAUGAAUAUUUUUAGAAUUGUUGCAUUUUCAUUUUGAAAAAUAUUAUUUGCACUCCAAUUUUUGUUAAUCAUACUCUCAUUAUCAUUUUAAUCGUAUAGUUUUUAUUUAUUACAUUAUAUAAUAAAAUAAAUAGUGAGAGUGCAAAUGACAAAAAAUGAAAUGCAAAUAACAUUUUAUUUUAUUUUUUUACAAUUUAUGUACUAUUUUCGAGGAUAUUAUACUUGACAAUGACAAUAACGUCCACUUCUUAAAUUUUACAGCAACAAACUUCCAUUCUUCGAAGAUAUUUCCUCUUUGGAGUGCUUCAAAGUUUCCACACACACAUUCAAGGACAUCGGUAAGCAGAUAAUUCCCAGUUUCCCACCUUUAAAAUUUCUACUACUUAUCAGCUCGUUCUUAAGCAAUUCAACAAAUAUAUAAUAGUCAUGCAAGUUAGUAUAUUUUUGCUAUGAUUUCCCCUGCAUUUCACCACUCUUAUGUUUCUUGAAUUUCGUCUCAUAAUUCCUGUAUGGCUGUGAUUUUGGUCUGCUCCUCAACAAUUUGUUGUAGUAACUUCAGUUGCACAGGUGCAACUGAGGCUAUACCAACUGUUACCAAACCAUACGGUUUAAGUUACAAUGUGCCUUUAGGAGGGACAAAGAUUGGAACUUCGAGACUUUUCCCAUGUGGGUCUAUGUUGAGGUGGAAGAAAAUCAUGAAAAAGCAAGUGGAUUUUGCUGGGUUUGGAAUGAAAAGUUCAUAUGAUGUUGUCGUUGUCAAUGGAAAACCCAAAAAGAGUAUGUCUCCUGAGGAAGUUUUGGCGGUUUUGAAGUCAAAAUCUGACCCAAAUCAAGCCUUUUCUUUCUUCAAAUCCGUUGCUGAAUUGCCUACUGUAGUUCACAAUACAGAGACAUGCAAUUACAUGCUCGAGCUUUUGAGGGUACAUAAAAGGAUAAAUGACAUGGCUGUGGUGUUUGAUUUGAUGCAAAAGCGGAUAAUAUAUAGGAGUUUGAAUACCUACUUGACUAUAUUUAGAAGUCUUAACAUAAUUGGAGGGAUUCGGGAAGUAGUGGUAGCUAUUGAGAGCAUGCGAGAAGCAGGGUUUGUGUUGAAUGCCUACUCGUAUAAUGGAUUGAUACAUUUGGUUCUUAAAGCUGGGUUUUGGAGGGAAGCUUUAUGGGUAUAUAGAAGGAUGGUCUCAGAAGGGCUUAAGCCUAGUCUUAAAACCUACUCAGCACUGAUGGUGGCAUGUGGGAAGCGAAGGGAUACACAAACAGUCAUGAGGUUGUUGGAUGAGAUGGAGAGCUUAAAAUUGAGACCCAAUGUUUAUACUUUCACCAUUUGUAUUAGGGCACUGGGAAGGGCAGGUAAGAUCAAUGAGGCAUAUGGUAUUCUUACAAAAAUGGAUAAGGAGGGUUGUAUGCCUGAUGUAGUGACUUACACAGUUCUUAUUGAUGCUCUUUGUGAUGCUGGAAAGCUUGACAUUGCAAAAGAAGUUUUUGCAAAGAUGAAAUGUGGAAGGCAAAAACCUGAUCAUGUAACUUACAUCACAUUGCUGGAAAAAUUUGCUGAUCAUGCAGACCUGGAAUCUGUUAGGGAAUAUCUGUGUAAAAUGGAAGCUGAUGGUUAUAAAGGGGAUGUUGUUACUUUCACGAUACUUAUUGAUGCCUUGUGCAAAGUGGGAAAUGUUGAUGAAGCAUUUGCCACUUUGGAAACCAUGAAGGAGAAAGGACUAGCCCCUAAUCUACACACUUACAAUACCUUGAUUGGUGGCCUUCUGAGAGAAAAUAGGUCUGAUCAGGCAUUUGAGCUAUUUGGUAGCUUGGAAUCAUUAGGCGUGCAGCAUACUGCAUUCACAUAUAUCCUGUUCAUUGACCACUAUGCAAAAUUAGGUCAAACUGACAAGGCUCUUGAAACUUUUGAGAAGAUGAAAGCUCAUGGAAUUGCUCCAAAUGUUGUCGCUUUCAAUGCAUCUCUGUAUGGCCUUGCAGAAUUGGGUCGGCUUAAGGAGGCAAAAGAUACUUUUAAUGGAAUGAAAAGGAGUGGACUUGUACCUGAUUCCAUCACGUAUAACAUGAUGAUAAAGUGCUUUGCCAAUGCAGGAAAAGUUGAUGAGGCUGUUCAGUUACUGAAUGAGAUGAUUGAGACUGGCUGUGAUCCAGAUGUUAUCAUUGUCAAUUCUUUAAUUGACAUGCUUUACAAGGCUGAUCGUCCAGAUGAGGCGUGGGCAAUGUUCAGACAGCUUGUUCCUUCAGUUGUCACGUACAACACUUUGUUGGCUGGACUGAGAAAGGAGGGCAAGCAUAUAGCAGCUUUUCAGUUAUUCGACAGCAUGAGUGCACGUGGGUGUCCUCCCAAUACAAUAACAUUCAAUACUGUUUUGGAUUGUCAUUGCAAGAAUAAUGAGGUUGACUCAGCUGUGAAGAUAGUUUAUCAAAUGACAGAAGUUAAAUGCUAUCCUGAUGUUUUUACGUACAACACAAUCAUUUCUGGGUUAAUUAAAGAAAACAGGUUGAGGGAAGCAUUCUGGUUCUACCAUCAAAUGAGAAAAGUGUUGUACCCUGACUCUGUAACUUUGUGCACUCUCCUUCCUGGUAUCAUGAAAGAGGGUUUGAUUGAUGAUGCUUUUCACAUUGUCAAGGAUUUUGCUCACCAAGUUGAAAGUACGUUAGACAGAUCUUUCUGGGAAAAUCUAAUGGAAGGAACUAUUUGUGAAGCUGAAUUGCAUUACUGCAUUUCAUUUAUGGAAAAGUUACUUUCUGAUUGUCUGUGCAAAAAUGAAUCGAUCAUGAUACCUAUUAUUAAAUUUCAGUGCAAGCAAAAGAAAGUCCUUGAUGCUCAUAAAUUGUUUUUGAAAGUCAAAAAGUCAUUUGGGAUAUUACCGACACUAGAAAUACAUUGUGUCCUAAUUGAUGGCUUCUUGAAUUUCAUCAUAAAGAAUUGGCUUGGGAACUUUUCAUGGACAUGAAAAAGGCUGGUUGUGCUCCUGAUGUUUCCAUAUACAAUUUGUUGCUUGAUUAUCUUGCGAAGUCAGGAAUGAUUGAUGAACUUUUUGAAUUGUAUGAAGAGAUGCAUCAUAGAGGAUGUACGCCUGAUACCGUAACGCACAACAUACUCAUCUCUGGUCUUGUUAAGGCUGGUGACGUGUACAAGGCCAUAGAUUUAUACUAUGAUAUGGUAAGUGGAGGCUUUUCUCCCACUCCCUGCACAUAUGGUCCUCUUCUAGAUGGUCUUCUCAAACUUGAAGAUUUGGAUGGAGCAAAGAAAUUGCUUGAGGAAAUGAUUGAUUAUGGAUGUCUACCUAACUCUGCUAUAUACAACAUCCUUAUCAAUGGAUUUGGUAAAGCAGGGGAUGUGGAAAAUGCAAUUUCAUAUUUCAAUAGAAUGCUUAGGGAGGGAAUAAGACCUGACUUGAAAUCUUACACCAUUCUUGUUGAUUGUCUUUGCAUAGCUGGAAAGGUGGAAGAUGCAAUUUACUAUUUUGAGGAGUUAAAGUCAUCUGGCCUUGAUCCCGAUUUGGUUUCUUAUAACCUUAUGAUUAACGGACUUGGAAGAUGGGGAAAAAUUCAUGAAGCUUUGGCUCUUUUUAGUGAGAUGCGCAGCAGAGGAAUUUCUCCUAACCUAUAUACCUACAAUUCUCUAAUUCUCAAUCUUGGAGUUCUGGGAAUGUUGGAGGAAGCAGGAAAGAUGUAUGAAGAACUAAAGGUAGCAGGUCUUGAACCGAAUGUUUUCACUUACAAUGCUCUCAUUAGAGGGUAUAGCAUCUCUGGGAACCCUGAUGGAGCAUAUGAAGUCUUUGAGAAGAUGAUGGUUGGGGGAUGUAGCCCUAACAGCGGGACAUUUGCUCAGCUACCUAACUAAGUCCAGAUUACAUGCUUAUAGGCGAUGCUUAUGUAGCUUACUUUUCAUCUCCAUCCCUGGGGACACAGCUGCAAGGUAUUGCGGCUCCUUUGAGUCUCUUUACAUCGUGGCAACCUUUGAUCAGUACACCAACAAGGAAACAAUUAAAAGGACAUUACUUCUUGUGUUCUGAUUGAAUGUAUAGAUAUGUGUACUCUACUUAAGUGAUGUAGUUUGCUAGGUUGACUUCAUCUCAUUUAAAGUUUGUUUUAUCUGUAUACUUGUGUUAUCGAUGCAGGAUUUGAAGAGUAUAUUUGUACAGCUUCUUCCUGGUACAGGAUUUGAAGAGUAUACUUGUACAGGAUUUGAAGAGUAAUUACUGGUUACAAGGGUGUUAUGAUUUCAUCCUGUUGCAGUCAAAUCAUACAGCUUCGUUCUGGCUCUAUUUGUUGAUUCAGCUACAAUGCCUUGAAAGGUUCUACUGCACAGUCAUAACUAUAAAGUUGAUGUACAUUUUGAUGGUUUCUGUCCAUUAUGAAUAACUGAUCCUGUAAAAUAUACACCUUAAUUCUCUGAUGUAAUAUGCAAAAACUGUUUUCUUGUCUAUCUGCAUUUUCAGUCUUAUUUCUAGUAGAUGUACUGGGUUCUGGUUCUUUGUGUCAUAAUCUUCAUAGCCUGAAGAUAUUUGUCCCAGUGAAGUGUGUCCUUGGGCUUUGGUUGAAUAGUGAUAUAGAUCUACACUUGGCUCAUAUUAGCCACUGGAAAAUGAUAGUCAUGAUUUUAAAAAUUAUAGUUUUGUUGCUCAGACUUACAAUCGCUUAAGAAGGUUUUCUCUGCUUUAAAUUUCUUUUGUUGCCCAAAAUUUUUUGCCUAAACUUUUGUUGCCUAAAAUAAUUAAGCAAUUCAUCAAAACGAGAACCCAUGUGGAUCUGAACAAGACUUGCAGACCAAUAACCUAAAUCCAGAAGUUCUUGAAAGAAAAAGAAAAUAAAAUGCGCGUAUAUGUGCUGUCAAGAGUCCUAUGCCAAUCUCUGGUUCCAUUAGAAUAGGCCAGAUAUUUAGAUGUACUUUGUAGUUUGACUUUUCUUCUAUUCUGCCAAUUGAUACGCCAAUACUUCGAGCAUGACAUGAUAUUAUUGUAUUUAUCUGUUGCUUUCAUGAUACAGCUAUUAGCUUGAUGGGACAAAAUGCAGGUAUAAUUUUAUCGCUGCCUGAAAAUAUGAAGAUAGUAAAAUCAUGUUCAAGUAACCUAAAUCACAUGCUCCAGUCGGUGUAUAAUCACAGAGGAAAAUGCACAGUUUUUCACAACCCAAAUCUGUAAUUGUGAUUCAGCAAGAUGAAGUGAAGAAACCAGAACAAAAAUUGAGCUUCUAAGCUCAGUUUCUAUACUUAUAAUAGACGUGGACUCUAUUGGCUUGCUGAAGUGGCAGGAGGGCAACAAAAAAUGGUCACUCGUUCACCCUUCUAUAUGAGUAUAUACUGAAAGCAGAUCAUAUUAAACACACAUUGUUUAUUCUAUUCUCUAUAUUGGGACCCUUUUUCUCAGUGUUGGAACUUCAAAUCCAUAUUUAUGUGUCAGCAUAGAAGGGGCAGGGAGGGAAAUAACACAUUCAGAAUGAUUUCCAUUUUCUGUUGUAUUAUCCUGUCUUCCUGGAAUCUAUGAAGUAUCUUAACGUCAAUAUUUGUUGGCUAAUUUCAUCUGCACAUGUAAUUGAGCUUUUUAUUCAGUUCUCUGCUACUGCUGUACUUAUAGUCUCUUAUUGUUAGUCAAUUUCGUUCAUGCCAUUUACAAGUAACAUACAAAAGUUGACUGAAGAAUGUCUGCUUUCCAGUCCUUGAAAGACUUGGUAGUACUGGCUCAGAUUUCUUUUUCUUCAGUACAUUUUAGCAGGAUACCUGUCGCAUGUAUCGAGUUCUGACAAAGCUGUGGAGACUACUGAUGUCAAAGAUCUCUUCACAGCUCUGACUUGUUAGUUGCGGUUGUGUCUUUUUUCCUUUCUGCUUCUUCCAUGACCAAAGGAAAGCUUGUAAAGGUUGCCGAGAGAGUAUCCUUACCUCUCUCGACUUCAUACAUCUGUAGUCUGGACUUGCUUUCCAGAUUACCAACCUACUUUACCCGUCAUAUAUGGAAACCAACAAUUGCUUUCUAAGUUGAGAGAUGCUUGAUCACUUGGGAAGGAGCUCAAAAAGGCAUAUGAAAGAGAGAGAGAAAGGGCGGAUCUUGUUAUCAUUUCUCUGUGACUUGUAGCAACUUUUUGCUUUGUUAAGGUUAGUGAUGCCCUUUUCAUGUAGGACUGCAUCUUCUUUGGAUGAAUCCAUAUUCAAAACUUCAAGUCCUCGUAAUGAAGAAAUAUUAUUGCAUGUAAUUUGAACUUGGAUUUCCUGAAUGAAGAAUGCAAAGCAAAAGAGAAGGUGGAGGGGAAAUGAUUUCGUUUACAUUGUUUUAUUCUAAAACAUAAGUUCAAGUUUCAGUCAUUUCAAGUUGAGGUAAAAUCCAAGAUAACCAAAAGAUGAUUGAUGUCAGGAUUUAUUCGUUAACUUUUUCAUUUUGCUUAGGAUACGUACUCCCUGAAACUUAUUUUAGCUUAUGAUGCAUAAUCCCUGAAAACCAACAUAAGAAAAUUUUUUUACCUCAGAUCCCAUGUUCAUUUCCAACCAGAAAUCUGUAGAAUUCAUAAUUUCAAACAAGUAUUUAUUCUGCUCGAAGGACUGCAUGGUGACUAACUUUUGCCUUCAAAAAAGAACAUGGAAAUAUUCAAGAAGUUAAUUCUGGUAAGGAGAAAAGGGUUGAGGAGAACUACGUAUUAUCAUUGUAAAUUGCUUUUAUUCUUUUGGUGUGGGAGAGGGGGGGGGGGGGUGGGGGAGGGUUUCCCAUCUUUCCUUCCAAAAAAUGGCAUGACUUUCGCGAUGUUAAUAAGAAGUUCAAAAAUUAAAACCUGCAAAGAUCCCCUCCUAGCAGCUAUCUCUUGAUUCUCCACAUAACAUCUUACAGGUAUCGAAUUAAAUCUUACAUCUGCUAGGAGGAAAGAGACACACACAUAGCGCCAAUUGAAUCAAUGCACUUGAAAGCAUUACAAUGUAGCUCGCAUAAGCUUUUUCAUCUCAUUAAGAAGUAUACCAUCUGAAAAAUAUUUAGGUAAAAAUUACUACAUACUAAUGGCUGGUCAAGCUGAACUCUGUAUAGUCAUGUAUUGCUACAAGAAACAGAUCUAGAGCCAUGAGCAAGAAGCGAUGGCAGUGCCUAAACUGUGAUGACUUUCAUUCGCUUGAUGUGUGGAAGUGUGGAUGUGGAUAUCCA